rnacentral:rRNA from 1 species
UACAGAGGGAGCGAGCGUUGUUCGGAUUUACUGGGCGUAAAGAGCGCGCAGGCGGGUAGGUAAGUCGGAUGUGAAAUUUGUGGGCUCAACCGACAAUCUGCAUCCGAAACUGCUUGCCUUGAGUACAGGAGAGGAGAGUGGAAUCGGUAGUGUAGCGGUGAAAUGCGUAGAUAUUACCGAGAACACCAGUGGCGAAGGCGGCUCUCUGGCCUGAUACUGACGCUGAGGCGCGAAAGCUAGGGGAGCAAACAGG